rnacentral:tRNA from 1 species
AUAGAGUUAGUUUAAUAUAAAAACUUUGGUCUGUGGAACCAAGGAUAACAUGAUGUUGCUCUUU